AACCCUUAGAACUCUCCCAUUGGCCUAUAGACUCAAUGGUUCCCUCAGGGUCUUUCUCCUGCAUUUUGUUGCAGACCACAAUGCACCGCUCUAGGCGUCGGUUACCCCGGCAAUGGGCCGCACGAGGUGAGGCCCGAACAUCGGGAAGAUGGUGCAGGGGCGGGGUGGCGAGGACGUACCCGAGACUAGAGAGAUGAUGGAAAGGGAGCUUCCGCCACGGCCGAGAGAAAUGAUUACAAAUUUUCGGAGGUUGUCCCAGGAUGCAUUCGCGAAUAAAGACAGUCUUUGGAAGUUGCGUAUUCUACGUGCCCCCUCGCCCCCCCCCUCCCCAGUGCAGGACUUCCCUGGUGGCACAGAGGAUAAGAACCCGCCUGCCAAUGCAGGAGACACAGGUACAAUUCCUGGUCCAGGAAGAUCCCACGUACCUCAGAGCAACUAAGCCCACGGACCACCACUGGGGACCCUGCGCUCUAGGACCCAUGAGCCACAACGAAUGAGCCUCUGUGCCCCCAGGCUCCAACAGUACCUGAACCGUGAACUUCCAGAUGUUCAGGCUGGAUUUAGAAAGGGCAGAGAAACCAGAGAUCAAAUGGCCAACAUCUGUUGGAUCAUAAAAAAAGCAAGAGUUCCAGAAAAACAUCUAUUUCUGCUUUAUUGACUACGCCAAAGCCUUUGACUGUGUGAAUCACAAAAAACCGUGGAAAAUUCUGAAAGAGAUGGGAAUACCAGACCACCUUACCUGCCUCCUGAGAAAUCUGUAUGCAGGUCAAGAAGCAACAGUUAGAACUGGACAUGGAAAAAGAGACUAUUUUCAAAUCAGGAAAGGAGUAUGUCAAGUGGUCCAGUGAUGAAGAAUCGCCUGUCGGUGCAGGGGACGUAGAC
ensembl:lncRNA